rnacentral:lncRNA from 1 species
UUUUUUUUUUUUUUUUUUUUGAAAUUUGAUUUUAACUCUUGCUUUUUUUUAUGGUUUGUGUCUGUUUUUUCCACCCCCGCUGGCGCCGAGCUGCGCUGUUUUGUGUUUCUUUUUUUUUUUUUUUUUCUAUUUUUUUUUUUUAAAUUCUGAAGCCAGACCGUCUUUCCUCACAGCUCCACGGCUGCAUCUCCGUGGGCACGCAAGCUUCCCCUGGUUACCUGAGCUGCUCCUGCCGUCUCCCGCCUGGGCUUCGCCGUGGUGCACCCGAUCCCGGAAUCGUGCGUCUGCGCCCUGCGAAAGAAGGACCUGCUGGCGGAGCUCCGGCCGGGGUCUCCUGCCUCGCAGCUGGGCGAGGGGACUUGGAGGACAGGGUGAAGCUGCAGAAGACCUGGGGUGGGAUGGCUAGAGAGGACGCCAAGGACUGGGGAAGGGGAAGUUAGGAAUACCUUACAUCCAAUGCCCACCCGUGCUCCGCAGGGCAAGGGCAGCCGUCGCCUCGGCCGCGUGCACCCAGCUCAGGCUGUUCCCAGGGAUUUAGUCUGGGGGGACAACCCAUGGCGAGAUGUGGUGGCAUUUUACCUCAGAGUGGAGCUGAAGAUGGAUAAACAAGGUAUCUGAUGUAUCUGCCUGAGAAGGCAGAGCUGGAGAAAGGCGGAGCGAGGGAGCGCGUGAAAAGAAAGAGAUGCCGAAUGCCGGGUGAUUGUCUGCCGCUUGCUGUGCAUUCUCAUUCUAGGGAGGAUGGCAUAAUUUAUAACCCAGCACAUGGAUAGAGGAACUGUAAAUUGUAGUCUGGAUGUCCCCGGCGCUGUCGACGAAGGAACUGAUGGGCUAGGCUCACAGGCAGAAGGAAUUUUCCUUGUCUUGGAUGAGACUUUUGACUUGGACUUUUGGGUUAAGGAUUUACAGAAAGCGUGGUGCUGGCAUCUGAUCAGCUUCUGGGGUGGCCUCAGGAAGCUUACAAUCAUGGUGGCAUUUGAAGUGGAAGCGAGAGAGAGAAGAGGAGAUGCAACACACUUUUAAACAAGAUUUCAGGAGAACUCAUUCACUAUGUUCUGGAGACCAGAAGGCCAAAAUCAAAAGUAUGGGCAGGCUUGAUUUCUUUAGAAGACUCCAGCGGAGAACUGUGUCUCCUUGCUUCUGAUUCUACAUCUCCAUCCAUGGGCCACUGUUUCAGCAACCUCAGCCAGUGCAACACAACCUCAGCCAAGAAGAGUAUGCAGAGAAAGGAGUCCCCUACCUGCCACAAAACUGUUGUCUGAAAACUGUCUCAUAUUGUCUCAAGUUGUCAUUCAUUGUGAAUUAGACCUGUUUAACAUGUAAUCUGCAACAUGCUUCACUGUCUAAUUUUCCAGAGCCCCUCAUAUAAGGAACUGUAUUAUUGGUAUAAUCAUCAUGGUGAAGAAGUUGGUAUGUGGGGGAGAGAUGACAGAAACAGAGAGUAAGUCAGAGCUGGCUGCCUGACAGAUAAAAAGGAAAUGACCAAAAAAAAAAAAAAAGACACAGAAGAAUACUUUGUUGUCCACACAGAAAAGGGAAGUGUAGGUAAGACAGCAGUAGACUAAGAUUCUUAAGACUCAAGUUCUAGUCUUAUUUAUUAGCUAUGGGAGGCCUUGAGGGAGUUCUAGAAUUAAGUGAUCUCUCUUUAUAAAAUAGGAACAGUAAUAACUUCCUGGCUAACUCCCUGGCUGUCUCACAAUGCUGUAGUAGUAAGAAAUAAUUUUAUAAUUAAAGACUAUUUUAGGGCUGAUUACAUUUUUGGGCAGUGGCUCAUACAUGUAAUUUCAACAUUUUGGGAGGCCAAGGUGGGCGGAUUGCUUGAGCCCAGGAAUUCAAGACCAGGCUGGGCAACACAGACCUUGUCACUACAAAAGAAAAAAACAUUAGCUAGGCGUGGUGAUGUAUGCCUGUGGUCCCAGCUACUCAGGAAGCUGAGACAGGAGGAUCACCUGAGCCUGGGAGGUCGAGGCUACAGUGAGCCAUGAUCACACUACUGCACUCCAGCCUGGGAAACAGAGUGAGACUCUGUCUCAAAAAAAAAAAAAAAGGAAUAUUUUACACUUCAAGGUUCUAUACAAAUGUAAAAUAUCAUUCUAUUACUUAUUUAUAAUGCUGAUUAUUCUUUAAAUGACUUUAAAAUGUUAAUCUCUGCUUGAGCCUACGGAGAAGUAUGUAACAAAUUUGUGAAGGAUUGGCAUUAAACAUAGUCAAAAUAAAACAUAGAAAUUAUGGUAAAUAAUUUAACUGGUAAAAUAAUCUAAGUGGUAGUUCUCAGGUAAGUGGAAAUUCGAUUAGCUGAUUGUUUAGGAUUCUUGGUUAUAAGUGACAGAGACCUGACUAAAAGUACAUGAAGCACAUAACUGAGAAGGUUGUGGUAUGGCUCAGCAGAAAUGGGAAAAUCUUGGGACUGGUUCGUGUUUUAUUUACAUUAUCUUUGUUCCCAGGCAGUCUCUGCAUGUAAGUGGCAAAGAUGACUGUCUGAAAAUAUAUACCUACUUUUUUAAAGGGCUAUCUCAAGCCAUUCUGGAGAAGCACCAAAAGCCACUUUGCUUAUACUGGGAGAAUAGUUUGCUUUCCCUAAUUUGUGAUGAGUGAAACACUGAACAGAGACAUAGAAUAAUAUUCUGUAGUUCAGGGUUGGUGUAAUAUGGCCAGUGGGCGGAAUCUGGUCCUCAGACUGAUUUUGCAAAUAAUCUUAUAGAAACACAGCAACACCCAUUCAUUACAUGUUGUUUAUGGUUGCUUUGGGGUUACAAUGGCAGAGUUGAGUAGUUGUGACAGAGAUCACUAGGCUCACCACAUCUGAGAUAUGUACUGACUGACCCUGUACAGAAAGUUUGCUGCUCUUAGAGGAAUGUGUGUUUCUAGUGUCAGCAAUAAACUUCUUGGAUUUGUUUUGUUUUCUCAUCUUUACAUGAUAGUUGCAGACUAGUUGAUCCUUGUGACCUGUUUUUGAAUGCCACUGUGUAUUCUGUCAGGGCCCUCUGAUUCUGUUUCUUAUGGUGCUGAAUGCACAAUUUAAUGCCCUGGAAUUUCCUUCUGUCUUCUGCUAAACUCAUGCCUCUUCAGAUAGUUAAAAUCCUGUUCUACCUUAGAAGUCUCCAGAGUUAUUUUCCUAAAUUAAGAAGAACUGGCUUUGAAGUUACUCAUUAUGCCACACACAAUGGUUGAAAAGAGCAUCUCUUAUGUACUGUGUAUAUUUCAGCAUCCACUCAGCUUCUUAGGUAGAAAAGGAAGAGUCUUCCACAGUGUAUUUUAUCCAUAUUUGGGUCAGAAACUCUUCUUUACCACGGAGCGUGAUGGAAGAAAGAUAUGGGAUGGUAACAGUAGGCCAGGGAUGUAAUAAUCACAAAAUUUGAGAUAUUUUGUGACUGGUGACUCACGCCUGUGAUCCCAGCAUUUUGGGAGGCCAAAGCGGGCGGAUCACCUGAGGUCAGGAGUUCAAGACCAGCUUGGCCAAUGUAGUGAAACCUCAUCUCUACUAAAAAAAUAUAAAAAUUAGCUGGGUGUGGUGGUGCACACCUGUAAUCCUAGCUACUCAGGAGGCUGAGGCAGGAGAAUAGCUUGAACCAAGGAGGUGGAGGUUGCAGUGAGCUGAGAUUGUGCCACCACUGCAUUCCAGUCUGGGUGAC